rnacentral:rRNA from 1 species
AUUGAACGCUGGCGGCAGGCUUAACACAUGCAAGUCGAGCGGAGAUGAGGUACUUGCACCUUAUCUUAGCGGCGGACGGGUGAGUAAUGCUAGGAAUCUGCCUAUUAGUGGGGGACAACAUUCCGAAAGGAAUGCUAAUACCGCAUACGUCCUACGGGAGAAAGCAGGGGAUCUUCGGACCUUGCGCUAAUAGAUGAGCCUAAGUCGGAUUAGCUAGUUGGUGGGGUAAAGGCCUACCAAGGCGACGAUCUGUAGCGGGUCUGAGAGGAUGAUCAGCCACACUGGGACUGAGACACGGCCCAGGAUCCUACGGGAGGCAGCAGUGGGGAAUAUUGGACAAUGGGGGGAACCCUGAUCCAGCCAUGCCGCGUGUGUGAAGAGGGCCUUAUGGGUGUAAAGCACUUUAAGCGAGGAGGAGGCUACUGAGACUAAUACUCUUGGAUAGUGGACGUUACUCGCAGAAUAAGCACCGGCUAACUCUGCGCCAGCCGCCGCAGUAA